GGUCUCGAUUUGGAAAUGAUACUGUUGUAGAUGGUAUGCUUAAAGAUGGUCUUUGGGACGCUUACAAUGACUUUGCCAUGGGUGUUUGUGCUGAGAUAUGUGCCAGCCAGUAUUCCAUUACAAGAGAAGAGCAGGAUGCAUAUGCUAUUAAGAGCUUUGAGCGAGGACUUGCUGCACAAAAUAAUGGUCUAUUAUCCUGGGAAAUAGCUCCGGUCAAGGUUCCUUCCGGAAGAGGGAAGCC
rnacentral:misc_RNA from 1 species